rnacentral:lncRNA from 1 species
GGGGAGGAAUUUAGAUUUUGAUUUUCCAAAAUUAAAAAUAGAACAAAAAAAUGACACACCUUCAAUGUUGUAGUACUUUUUUCUCAUAUUUGCUGCUUUGUGUUUCAGGAAAACCAAGAAUUCAAGGGAUCAUGUUCUGAGCUUAGACUUCUAGUGGAUAGUAGCAGUUAUAUAGAUGGAGGAUUUUUCACAGAGUAUCUCUCAAAAUUUAUAAUAGCUUUAUAGCUCUAUUUGUAUAAUUUUAAAUUUUCUUAGUCGAAUCCCCGCACCUGUAUCCAUACUUGGAUCCGCACCCCAAAUAUUAAAAUUUAGAUUUUGCCGAAUUCGACAAUCGAAUCUGUGCCCGAUCGUCUACCCGCACCCAAGUCCGACCCGAUCCUGAUUACAGGUGCUUGUCAUUUGUGAAAUGUGCUUGUCAUUUGUGAAAUGGAUGUGGUGGUUUU